rnacentral:sRNA from 1 species
UAGGGACUGGCAAGAUAAUCAACUUUAUCAAAUUUGAUACAGGCUGUAAAAACAAAAACAAGCCAGCAAGCAAACAAGAAGAAGAAAACAACAACAACACAAACCUUGAAAUAGACUUGUCAGAUGUAAAUAUUUCUUUUCUAGGGAAGUAGAAGGUGUACAGUGGAGUUUUCUGGAGGCUACAUGACAUGUGAUAAGAAAACAGACUGAAAAAGGGACUAUAUCUAUAAAGAGAAAAUUGCUAUCACUGUUUUUGGUUGGGAAAAACAUUUGUAUGAGAUAAACGUGUUAUUCUUUUCAUAAUCAGACAUUCUUCUCACAAGUGUUGGUUCUCUACCAUUCCUCAAAGGUGAUAAUUUUUUGAAAUAUGUUAUUGUGGAUUCAUGAUUUUGGAUAUAUCCAAUGGGUUUAAGUGCAUUGCAAUAAAAUGGUAUUUUGAUACUCA